GCCUCGAUGGUCUAACCGUGAGGACGCUCGCACUGAAUACAAGAGAUUCGGGUUCAAUUCCCGGCCGAGGUA
rnacentral:tRNA from 1 species